GCAUUGCUUGCUGUUUGGGGGUUUUAGGCUGGGUUUCUGUACAGCACUUUGAAAUAUCAGCUGAUGUAAGAAGGGCUUUAUAAAUACAUUUGAAGAACAGAACUACAUUGUUGUUUUAAAGGCACACCGUAGCCUACAUUAAAUAUUGAAGAUGGGGCCAGAGAGGAUGGCUGCAGUUUUGUUGGUUCUUAACCAACUGUGCUAUUGUGUUUGUUUUUUCACGUUGUUUGUAACUUAUUGUGUACAUAAUGUUGCUGCUACCAUCUCUUAUGACCGAAAAGAGCUUCUGGACAAUCAGAACAGCGAUUACUCACCUUGAAAUGGACGAAUAAUUUUUCUUUAAUGAGUCGGGCGAGAGGGAUUUACUCCAGACACCCGACAAGGACCUCAUCCCAAUAAUUCGCAGGAGAAAGAGACAGAGAUACCGCGGAAGGAGAUUGGGGUGCCUGAUAAGUAGCUGGCAACGAGUGGCUAAUCUGCCUUUGCCAUCGGUACUAUUGGCCAACAUACAAUCACUGGAUAAUAAAGUGGACAAACUACAAGCACGUAUAUCCUACCAACGGGACAUUAAAAACUGUAAUAUCUUAUGUUUCACCGAGUCUCCUGGGUGUUCAACCACGGGGCAGGGGUUAUUCCAGUACCUCGUUGAUUGGGAGGGUUACGGCUUGGAGGAGAGGUGCUGGGUUCCCGCUAGAGACAUCCUGGUUCCAGCCCUCAUCGCCGACACCCCGGGCAACCAGUCUUCCUGGUAUUGACUCCUGCCUGACUCUGGACUACUUUCCCGCCUGCCUGAUCAGCCUGCCUGCCCUGACCUUGAAUCUGCCUGCUUUUCGGUACCUAUUGGACUCUGGUUUUGACCUUUUGCCUGUACACGACCAUUCUCUUGCCUAACCCCCUUUUUGGAUGAAUAAACAUGGUAAGACUCCAA